rnacentral:rRNA from 1 species
CGUGUCGUGAGAUGUUCGGUUAAGUCCGCUAACGAGCGCAACCCUCGUCGUAUGUUAUAUGUGUCAUACGAGACUGCCGGUAAAAAGCCGGAGGAAGGUGAGGACGAUGUCAAGUCAGCAUGACCUUUAUAUCCAGGGCUACACACACGCUACAAUGGUCUGUACAAUGGGUAGCCAAGCCGCGAGGCGGAGCCAAUCCUGAAAGCAGGCCUCAGUUCAGAUUGCAGUCUGCAACUCGACUGCAUGAAGCCGGAGUUGCUAGUAACCGCAGGUCAGCAAUACUGCGGUGAAUACGUUCCCGGGUCUU